AUUGAACGCUGGCGGCAUGCUUUACACAUGCAAGUCGAACGGUAACAGGCCGCAAGGUGCUGACGAGUGGCGAACGGGUGAGUAAUGCAUCGGAACGUGCCCAGUCGUUGGGGAUAACUACUCGAAAGAGUAGCUAAUACCGCAUACGAUCUAUGGAUGAAAGCGGGGGACCGUAAUGCCUCGCGCGAUUGGAGCGGCCGCUGUCAGAUUAGGUAGUUGGUGGGGUAAAGGCUCACCAAGCCAACGAUCUGUAGCUGGUCUGAGAGGACGACCAGCCACACUGGGACUGAGACACGGCCCAGACUCCUACGGGAGGCAGCAGUGGGGAAUUUUGGACAAUGGGCGCAAGCCUGAUCCAGCAAUGCCGCGUGCAGGAAGAAGGCCUUCGGGUUGUAAACUGCUUUUGUACGGAACGAAACGGCUCUGGUUAAUACCCGGGGCUAAUGACGGUACCGUAAGAAUAAGCACCGGCUAACUACGUG
rnacentral:rRNA from 1 species